rnacentral:rRNA from 1 species
UACAGAGGGUGCAAGCGUUAAUCGGAAUUACUGGGCGUAAAGCGUGCGUAGACGGUUACAUAAGUCGGAUGUGAAAGCCCCGGGCUCAACCUGGGAAUUGCAUUCGAGACUGAAUAGCUAGGGUACGGUAGAGGGAAGUGGAAUUUCCGGUGUAGCGGUGAAAUGCGUAGAUAUCGGAAGGAACAUCAGUGGCGAAAGCGACUUCCUGGACCAGUACCGACGUUCAGGCACGAAAGCGUGGGGAGCAAACAGG